rnacentral:rRNA from 1 species
GGGUGUGACUGCGUACCUUUUGUAUAAUGGGUCAGCGACUUAUAUUCUGUAGCAAGGUUAACCGAAUAGGGGAGCCGGAGGGAAACCGAGUCUUAACCGGGCGUUAAGUUGCAGGGUAUAGACCCGAAACCCGGUGAUCUAGCCAUGGGCAGGUUGAAGGUUGGGUAACACUAACUGGAGGACCGAACCGACUAAUGUUGAAAAAUUAGCGGAUGACCUGUGGCUGGGGGUGAAAGGCCAAUCAAACCGGGAGAUAGCUGGUUCUCCCCGAAAGCUAUUUAGGUAGCGCCUCGUGAAUUCAUCUCCGGGGGUAGAGCACUGUUUCGGCUAGGGGGCCAUCCCGGCUUACCAACCCGAUGCAAACUGCGAAUACCGGAGAAUGUUAUCACGGGAGACACACGGCGGGUGCUAACGUCCGUCGUGAAGAGGGAAACAACCCAGACCGCCAGCUAAGGUCCCAAAGUCAUGGUUAAGUGGGAAACGAUGUGGGAAGGCCCAGACAGCCAGGAUGUUGGCUUAGAAGCAGCCAUCAUUUAAAGAAAGCGUAAUAGCUCACUGGUCGAGUCGGCCUGCGCGGAAGAUGUAACGGGGCUAAACCAUGCACCGAAGCUGCGGCAGCGACACUGUGUGUUGUUGGGUAGGGGAGCGUUCUGUAAGCCUGUGAAGGUGUGUCGUGAGGCAUGCUGGAGGUAUCAGAAGUGCGAAUGCUGACAUAAGUAACGAUAAAGCGGGUGAAAAGCCCGCUCGCCGGAAGACCAAGGGUUCCUGUCCAACGUUAAUCGGGGCAGGGUGAGUCGACCCCUAAGGCGAGGCCGAAAGGCGUAGUCGAUGGGAAACGGGUUAAUAUUCCCGUACUUGGUGUUACUGCGAAGGGGGGACGGAGAAGGCUAUGUUGGCCGGGCGACGGUUGUCCCGGUUUAAGCGUGUAGGUGUGUGUUCCAGGUAAAUCCGGUUCACUUUAACACUGAGGCGUGACGACGAGGCACUACGGUGCUGAAGCAACAAAUGCCCUGCUUCCAGGAAAAGCCUCUAAGCAUCAGGUAACAUCAAAUCGUACCCCAAACCGACACAGGUGGUCAGGUAGAGAAUACCAAGGCGCUUGAGAGAACUCGGGUGAAGGAACUAGGCAAAAUGGUGCCGUAACUUCGGGAGAAGGCACGCUGACACGUAGGUGAAGUGAUUUACUCAUGGAGCUGAAGUCAGUCGAAGAUACCAGCUGGCUGCAACUGUUUAUUAAAAACACAGCACUGUGCAAACACGAAAGUGGACGUAUACGGUGUGACGCCUGCCCGGUGCCGGAAGGUUAAUUGAUGGGGUCAGCGCAAGCGAAGCUCCUGAUCGAAGCCCCGGUAAACGGCGGCCGUAACUAUAACGGUCCUAAGGUAGCGAAAUUCCUUGUCGGGUAAGUUCCGACCUGCACGAAUGGCGUAAUGAUGGCCAGGCUGUCUCCACCCGAGACUCAGUGAAAUUGAACUCGCUGUGAAGAUGCAGUGUACCCGCGGCAAGACGGAAAGACCCCGUGAACCUUUACUAUAGCUUGACACUGAACAUUGAGCCUUGAUGUGUAGGAUAGGUGGGAGGCUUUGAAGUGUGGACGCCAGUCUGCAUGGAGCCGACCUUGAAAUACCACCCUUUAAUGUUUGAUGUUCUAACGUGGACCCGUUACCCGGGUUGCGGACAGUGUCUGGUGGGUAGUUUGACUGGGGCGGUCUCCUCCUAAAGAGUAACGGAGGAGCACGAAGGUUGGCUAAUCCUGGUCGGACAUCAGGAGGUUAGUGCAAUGGCAUAAGCCAGCUUGACUGCGAGCGUGACGGCGCGAGCAGGUGCGAAAGCAGGUCAUAGUGAUCCGGUGGUUCUGAAUGGAAGGGCCAUCGCUCAACGGAUAAAAGGUACUCCGGGGAUAACAGGCUGAUACCGCCCAAGAGUUCAUAUCGACGGCGGUGUUUGGCACCUCGAUGUCGGCUCAUCACAUCCUGGGGCUGAAGUAGGUCCCAAGGGUAUGGCUGUUCGCCAUUUAAAGUGGUACGCGAGCUGGGUUUAGAACGUCGUGAGA